CACUCCUGCGGGAGGCAGCAGUGGGGAAUUUUGGACAAUGGGCGAAAGCCUGAUCCAGCAAUGCCGCGUGAGUGAAGAAGGCCUUCGGGUUGUAAAGCUCUUUUGUCAGGGAAGAAACGGUGAAAGCUAAUAUCUUUUGCUAAUGACGGUACCUGAAGAAUAAGCACCGGCUAACUACGUGCCAGCAGCCGCGGUAAUACGUAGGGUGCAAGCGUUAAUCGGAAUUACUGGGCGUAAAGCGUGCGCAGGCGGUUUUGUAAGUCUGAUGUGAAAUCCCCGGGCUCAACCUGGGAAUUGCAUUGGAGACUGCAAGGCUAGAAUCUGGCAGAGGGGGGUAGAAUUCCACGUGUAGCAGUGAAAUGCGUAGAUAUGUGGAGGAACACCGAUGGCGAAGGCAGCCCCCUGGGUCAAGAUUGACGCUCAUGCACGAAAGCGUGGGGAGCAAACAGGAUUAGAAACCCCUGUAGUCCCAUGA
rnacentral:rRNA from 1 species